rnacentral:misc_RNA from 1 species
AACAAGGAUUAAGGAGAAAACAAAAAUAGAAAUUAAACUAACUUGGCUAAAAGUGCGUCUGAACUAACUUCAGCAUCUGACAACAUUAAAAGAAUUGCCAUAAAGGAAUUAAAAUAUAAUCAAACCCAUUAUACCUAGACUGCUUUCUAAUAUCUUUAAAAAGUCCUACUGUACCAUUGAUUUGCUACCAACUAAAUAAAUGGAGCCUAGCCUGCUCAUGAACAAACCAGAUGCCUUCACUCCUGGUCAGGAUUUGGACAUGCCGAGUGAUGAAAAAUGGAACUUAAAAGUAGAGGCUAAGCUCUCCAUUUAUUAAAAGCAUUACCAAUUGAAUUUCUCCUUCUCCAUUGUAGUGGUUAAAAUUAGUUGUGGAAAUAAUAAAUAAGCAUGGUCUGAAGGGGAUAUUUUGAAACUAACAAACUCAGACAAUGGCCGAGAAUGAGAGAGAUGUGCUCUUGCUGCAGAGUUCUUCAAGUAGCAGCCCAUUCUUUUCGAAUGUCAAAGGUGUAGUUGAUCUCCAAGUAGCACUUGUCAUCAUCAUCAAGAAACUUUGAUCUUGCAGAAUAUGAUCCUCUGGCAAACAUGCCUGAUGGGGUGGUCUCUUCUGGCAUCAGAUGUGUGUAAGCCUCUGGCUGAGGACUGAAGGUUCCAAGCAUCUCUUUUGAGCUAUCCACCCUAACACCAGUUUUCCAGACAGUGUUGGUGUAUUUGAGGCCAGAUACAAUGUUGUUGCUAACUUGGAAGGAGAACAUCAAGUUAUAGUGACUACCUUCUUUCAGUGUAAACCAUGUGCCCUUGGGGUUUCCAUCCUCAGGGACAGAUAAUACAAUGUCAGGUCUGCCUGGGGAGAUGAUUGACAGACUAAGAAUUUUCACUUCUGGUUCAAGAGUUUCUCCAACAUUUUCAAAAUCCACAGUUCCAAGAAGUUGUUCCUUCCAUUUCCUGAGGCUUUCAUCAUCCUUGUCCUUCUCAAGUUGUUCUUUGAGGGUGCAUUGAGGACCAAGAUGAAUCUUGUUGCCUUCUUCGUCAUCUUCAUCCUCAUGAUCAGUUGCAUCCAUGGAAUUCUCACUCAUCUGCCUCCCAUAUUUGUCUGAUGAACCAUCACCAACCUCAUGAUGGGAUUUUUCUGUUUCCAAAUUGCCAGCAUUCUCCUCAGCACCCUCAUUUUUGUUUCCAUUAAGCUCCAUGUUAGUGGUCGAACUGGGCACAGCUCCAACAGCCAAGGACAUCAAAUCAUCAACAGUGACAAUAAUCGACCCAAAACAGUCCCACACACUUACACAAAGCAAGGAAAGAUUACAAGAUUACACACAAAAGGUUUAAAGAAGAGAGACGCCCAUAGUAAAGGUAAAAAUGGGAACAGAAUUUAUGUCUUGAAAUGAAAAGACUUGUGUUGCUGUGCCAAGAAAAUAGGUAAGAAAAAAGGUGACAAUUAUCCUUUUCUCUACAAGCUUAGAUAAACAGACCCACAAGCAAAAGAAGAAAAGACAAAAGAGAAACUGGGUUUGUCUCUCCUAGAAGCUUUUAGUGGUGGGCUGUCGAAGGAAGUUGAAUCUUUUGGGAGGGAGAGGCAGAGAGAGAGAGAGAGAGCGAACUGAAAUGGGGAGAACGGAGAUUUCUAGACAAUAAUAGGAAAGAGUGGCGGUGGGUGUAGUGGAGGCUGUCUGUGUCUGUAUGUGAAGAUAUGAGUUAGCUUUAUGUGUAUUUUACACCAAUGUAUACGUAUUUUAUAACA